GAGAGGGGUAGAUAGGGGGUGCAAAGUGAAUGAGGGAGGCGCAGCGAGGGGCGUCGAGUCAGCACGCAGCGGGCGUGGUCCGCCACUUGCGAGCUCCGGGGCGGCUGCGAACUAGGUUGCGUCGGGACCCCUGCUUUCCAUGGAGGUUCCCGAGCUGGGCCCGGGGUUGGUGGAGCGUCUGGAGCAGCUGGCGACGUGUCCGCUGUGCGGGGGCCCCUUCGAGGACCCAGUCCUGCUGGCGUGCGAGCACAGCUUCUGCCGUUCGUGCUUGGCGCGCUGCUGGGGGUCCCCGGCGGCGCCCGGCUCGGAGGAGGCGACCCCGUCCUGCCCCUGCUGUGGUCAGCCGUGCCCCAGACGCAGCCUGAGGUCUAACGUGCGACUUGCAGUGGAGGUGCGCAUCAGCCGCGGGCUGCGUGAGAAACUGGCCGAGCCCGGGGCCCGGACCGGGAGACGACGCGGCGGCCG
rnacentral:lncRNA from 1 species